rnacentral:rRNA from 1 species
AGAGCGAACGCUGGCGGCAGGCCUAAUACAUGCAAGUCGAACGGAUCCUUCGGGAUUAGUGGCGGACGGGUGAGUAACACGUGGGAACGUACCCUUUGGUUCGGAACAACUCAGGGAAACUUGAGCUAAUACCGAAUGUGCCCUUCGGGGAAAAGAUUUAUCGCCAUUGGAGCGGCCCGCGUCUGAUUAGCUAGUUGGUAGGGUAAAGGCCUACCAAGGCUACGAUCAGUAGCUGGUCUGAGAGGAUGAUCAGCCACACUGGGACUGAGACACGGCCCAGACUCCUACGGGAGGCAGCAGUAGGGAAUCUUGCGCAAUGGGCGAAAGCCUGACGCAGCCAUGCCGCGUGAAUGAUGAAGGUCUUAGGAUUGUAAAAUUCUUUCAGCGGGACGAUAAUGACGGUACCCGCAGAAGAGCCCGGCUAACUUCGCGCCAGCAGCCGC